AUUGAACGCUGGCGGAAUGCUUUACACAUGCAAGUCGAACGGCAGCACGGGGCAACCUGGUGGCGAGUGGCGAACGGGUGAGUAAUACAUCGGAACGUGCCCAAUCGUGGGGGAUAACGUAGCGAAAGUUACGCUAAUACCGCAUACGAUCUACGGAUGAAAGCGGGGGAUCGCAAGACCUCGCGCGAAUGGAGCGGCCGAUGUCAGAUUAGGUAGUUGGUGGGGUAAAGGCUCACCAAGCCGACGAUCUGUAGCUGGUCUGAGAGGACGACCAGCCACACUGGGACUGAGACACGGCCCAGACUCCUACGGGAGGCAGCAGUGGGGAAUUUUGGACAAUGGGCGCAAGCCUGAUCCAGCCAUUCCGCGUGCAGGAUGAAGGCCUUCGGGUUGUAAACUGCUUUGUACGGAACGAAAUCGCACGGGUUAACACCGCGUGUGGAUGACGGUACCGGAAUAAGAAGCACCGGCUAACUACGUGCCAGCAGCCGCGGUAAU
rnacentral:rRNA from 1 species